rnacentral:rRNA from 1 species
GAUGAACGCUAGCGACAGGCUUAACACAUGCAAGUCGAGGGGCAGCGGGGGUGCAGGCUUGCCUGCACCUGCCGGCGACCGGCGCACGGGUGAGUAACACGUAUGGAACCUGCCCGCCACAGGGGGAUAACCCGGGGAAACCCGGCCUAAUACCCCAUGCCGCCCGGACCGGGCAUCCGGUCCGGGCGAAAGGAGUAAUCCGGUGGCGGCUGGGCAUGCGGCGCAUUAGCUUGACGGCGGGGUAACGGCCCACCGUGGCGACGAUGCGUAGGGGUUCUGAGAGGAAGGCCCGCCACACUGGAACUGAGACACGGUCCAG